UACGUAGGGGGGCGAGCGUUGUCCGGAUUUAUUGGGCGUAAAGAGCGUGUAGGCGGCCAGGUAGGUCUGCUGUGAAAACUCGAGGCUCAACCUCGAGACGUCGGCGGAAACCAUCUGGCUAGAGUCCGGAAGAGGAGAGUGGAAUUCCUGGUGUAGCGGUGAAAUGCGCAGAUAUCAGGAAAAAACACCCCGUGGCGAAGGCGGCUCUCUGGGACGGUACUGACGCUGAGACGCGAAAAGCGUGGGGAGCGAACAGG
rnacentral:rRNA from 1 species